rnacentral:misc_RNA from 1 species
UAAAGAAGCUAAAAUUGAAAAGAUGAAGUCUUCGAAGCGAGCGGCAACAGAGAACAACAGAGGCAUAAGUGGGCACAUGUAUACCCUUCACCAGCGCCUCUUUCACGCUCUCAGCCUCGGCACAAGAGUUUAUGAUGGUAAGGAAUCAAAAUGGCAGUGUACGGAUAUUGAGAUACAGAGACACGUAAUUCGGUCAAUUGCUUCCUUUCUUGAUUGUAUUUCAGGAGAAACUUUGCAACAUCCUCUAGUAAAGGAUUCACUUGCUGAUAUAGUUGGGGCAAUAGUAUGGAUUCUUCAAAAUAAAAGCAAGGCCAUAUUAAGCAUGGCAACUAAUGUGGUAGUAAAUUUGAUCAACGUUAUACCCAAUUCGUUAUUGCAGUCUUACUUGUCAGAUAUGGUCCAUCCUUUGUCAUCCUUGUUAUUGUCUCAUCAAGUAGAUGUAUCUAUUUCAUGUGCCACUGCAUUGAAUAUGAUCUUUUCAAAUCUGAGCAUGAGAGGAGAGAAAAAGGUUUGGGAUAUUCUGAUUGAAACAGAAACUGUUUCUCGCAUUGUUAGUGGCAUAUGGGAAUUUUCUGAUGGUGUUAUGCCAAUUGAAUAUUUCCAAGAGAUGACUUCGCUCUUGAGUGCAAUACUGCAUCGGUGGCCUGCAUCACGGUAUAAUGUCUGGAAUGAUGCUAAAUUGUUGGAAGUCUUGGAAGCUAUGUGUGUAAAACCUGAUUUCUCUGUUAAGGUUGCAGUUUUGAAGCUAUAUUGUACAAUAGCACUGUGUGGCAAUGGGGCCAAGAAACUUCUAGGAAAAGGAGAAUCCCUUCUACAAAUUAUGGUUCUCUGCAUGGGAAGAUCUCACCCUCUUUCUGUUCGGACUGAGGGAUUUAGACUUGCCCAAUGUUUAGCGGUAAUAAUUGUAACUUCUUGUUUCACAAGAUGUCCAACUGUGAAAUAUUAACUAUAAGUCAUUUUAUGUCUUCUAUUGCUCAGAAAAAUGAAGAGGGGUGUUUAAAAAUGAUGAGCUUAUGCUGUGAGCCUAUUGUUAAAGCUAUAAUUGAUGGAAUGACUGGAUGGACCUCUCAUUCAGGGAAGAUUGCCAAUGACCAAAUGUCUUUGCUAGUGGAAGCUUGUCAUUUGGCUUUGAUAAGUCGCUGGGCAGGGGAGCAUCAUGAUUUCUUGUGGCAGCAAGGGAUUGACAGGGUCCUCCUUAAUCUUCUUCUAAAUGACUUUCAAGAUGAACCACCACAAAAAUUGUUGUCACCAGAAGAACAGUUAUCUAUAGCACAAGAGGGUCUCAAGGUCAAUUUUCUUCUUGGUUUGAGGCCAUAUGUUUGGGACAUUCUUGGUUGGCUUGCUAUACAUUGUAGGGAGGAUUUCAAUCCUAGCAUGCAUGGCCGUGAACGUAGAAUUGACAUUCUUAUUACAUGUGCAUGCAUAUCUUUCAUGGAUUCAAUUCGUAAAGGGCACCAAAUAUGUCAAAAUGACAUAGCUGAUACCUUCAGAAGUGAAGCAGCAUCAAGGGCAGUGAUGAUGAUGAUUUAUUCGCCUUGCAAAUAUAUUGCAUCAAAAGCAAGAUUCAUACUGUAUGAAAUUCUAAGGCCAGCUAGCAAGAAGUAUCUAAAACGCUUACUGCAUAUGCUAAAUAAUACACCAUCUGAGGAUAAUUUUGGAAUGCCGAACAUGCUUCAAACUAGCAUUAACUUAGUGGCUUUGGUAUGUUAUUCUGGUAUACCAUAUUAUCAAAGUGAUAUUGUUAAAAAUGGAGGAAUCCAGGCACUUAUGGAUUUGAUAUGGUGGUGCUUAAGAAAUGAUAUCCAUAUAGGAAGGUGGAGUCUUGCUCCUCAUUUGCAUAAUAUAUUAAGUGAGAGGACUUGUUGCUGGGUAUGCAAAGAAGACUGGGAAGGCAAUAACAUUCUUUUAUUUUAUGGUCUGUGGGGAUUAGCUGAAUUGAUGCACUCUGGAUCUUCGAGAAAUAAUGUAGAAAUUUUUGGUGGCCAACUGGAUUAUACUGAAGCUGAAUUUGUUAGCACACUCCAGGAGAUAUGCAGUGACAGUACCUCUCCUGGAAUAAAAUGGUAUGGUGCAUUCAUUCUAAAUUAUUUUGGAUUUUAUGGUUUUCCAUGUAAACUUGGGAGGCGUAUUGGGAAAGCACUUAAUGUGAAUGAAUAUGCAGAUGUGCAACUCAUUCUCACAAAUGGGAACUCUUUGAGUGUCCAUGGUGUCAUUCUUUCUGCUCGAUGUCCAUCAUUGUUGCCUCCUGAAGAAAUGCCUGGUUAUGAGAAAGCGUCCAAUGGUUCUUCAGUAGGAUAUGACACAGAGAGGAAGUGUGGAAAGUUUCAUAAAGAAAUUCGUUUAUCUUCACAUGUGGAUAACCUGGCAUUGGCUAAGUUGUUGGAAUUUGUUUACAUGGGAUAUCUAAAUGCAGGAGAGGAACUUUUGAAGAAAGUGAAAUUUCUUGCAAAACGCUGUAGUUUACAACCUCUGUUAAUAAUGUUUGGCAGAAGGCAUCCCAAGUGGGGCACCCCCUUCCCCAGAUAUGAUCUUUCUCUUGUGCUUGCUCCAGCUGGGCAUUAUUUUUCGUACGGCUUGCUUCUUAAUCUUCACAAGGACAUCUUGAUAUUAUGUUCAGCUUUUUUCAUGUUAUUUAUUUUCAUGAGUAAAUUACCUUAACCUCCAUCACGAUUUCUUAAAUGUCACUUGCACCAAAUAGGUACAGGUUGAGCAAUUUGUGGCUUUUUGUUCAAAAGGCAACUCUAUUAAUUGAAGAAUAUUUCCAGAUGAAUGUUUGAUUUUGUAGUUUAGAGGAAUAUUCACUUUCCAAAUUAUGGACUCUAAUUUGAUUUGUUUCUGGAUUCAGGGACAUUGUCUUGGAGGCUAAAGCAACCGAAUCAAUAUGUUGGAGAUGUAAUGUAUGCUCUAAAUCAGUGCCACAUAUGCAUUGUCAUAAAGUUGUGCUGUGGUCAAGUUGUGAUUAUCUGCGGGCCUUAUUUCAGUCAGGCAUGCUGGAGAGCAACUCCCAAACCAUAAAGGUGCCUGUGAGCUGGGAGGCCAUGGUUAGGCUAGUGAACUGGUGCUACACUGAUGAGCUGCCUAUUCCUCCCUCUGGAUGUUUAUGGGAUAAUAUGGACAGCGAGGAAAGGCUAUCUGUGCUGCAACCAUACCUAGAGCUUUGUUGGCUUGCUGAAUUCUGGUUUUUGGAAGAGGUUCAGGAUAUCAGCUAUAAAGUGAUAGUAUCCUGUUUGGAUUCUGCAAGACAUUUGUCUAUUAAGAUAAUUAAAAUCGCUGCCGAUUUAUCUCUGUGGAAAUUAGUUGAAGUUACUGCAAAUUUCUUGGCCCCUUUAUAUCGUCAACUUUGCCAAUCUGGUGAUCUUGAAGCACUGGAUGAAGAAGUAAUUGAUAUGAUUCGUACAACUUCAGUUCGGCUCUCUCAAGAAGGAUAAGCUAUUCAAGUUCAAGAUGAUCUAAAAUGCUUUGGAUUUUUUGAAGGGUGGUAGAUGUUGAAAACCGUGAAGAAUGGGAUAUUAGAAAAUUCUCUUAAUGUGAUGGGGUGUACAACAGUUAAGACUAAGCCUUUAUCUAAAACCUUUUUUUUUUCUAACAGAAAUCCCAAACUAGUUGGGGAAUGGGAUGUAAAAUAGGUAAAUUUCUUUCCUGUUAUCGGGUUCAUUUAUGUAGAUAUUGAUGUGAGCAAACGGACUAUGUUGAAGAAAGUGAAGAAGAAAUGAUAAUAAUUGAUCCGUCG